CUUUCAGUGCAUAAUUUUGAAAAUUUCCACAGCCACUUAGCAAAAAUACUUAUUUUAUCCUGUAGGAAAAAUACAGAUUAUCUGGUUUUAUAUUUAACAUUUUCACAUUCUAGGUAGCAGACUAAACAAAUAAUGUUCAUGUUUUAAGUAUGUGACAAUGGGAAAGAGGAAAAACAGAAGAUUAUAAACACGACUGAGAACUCUAAUGAGAUUCUGUACAAAGGAUGGUAAUACCUUUUCAUAUUCCCAUGUCUUGCUGUUGCCUGAGCAACCAGGGAAAGCGUUCCUAAUCCUCUGCAUUUUUCCUGUAUCAUGGGUCAGCAGAGUGUUGGCUGGAAACGUGAUUAUGGCUGUUUUUUUUUUCACAGCUAAAAGAAACAAGACGUGAAAGACUGAAUGAAGACCAGAAUAGCCACUGGUAAUUUGUUUUCCCCCAAAAAGGAUGGACACUCGCUGCACUAAUUGCACUUAUCAUGGAAUCAUUCAGGUUGGAAAAGGUCAUUAAAGAUCAUCGAGUCCAAAUCUACACUGAAAACGUCACAGUUUCCAGCAAUUCUAAAGAAAACAGCAGCAGAACAAACAGCCAAAAAGAGAUACAAACACAAGUCAGUUUUGAGGCUUCAUAAAUCAACAAAGAAAAAGAUGGUGAUAUUAUGCAAUACUCUGCGCAGAGUGGGAGGUGGAACGCACAUAUGUUCAAGUAUGUGGCAUGCUCUAUAAAAAGUAAGUGUGGGAGCCUCUGCAAUUCCUAUCUCAAUUCUUAUCUCAGUUGCUAACUUAACUUCUUCCUUGUUCAAUCUCCUCAGUCCCUCUCUCUCUAGUCCCUCCAGCCUGUCACACCUCUGCAUGUGAAAAGGCCUUCUGGACCUGAAAUAAAAUAAAUACAGGUUCUUGCUGUUUA